UACGUAGGGAGCAAGCGUUGUCCGGAAUCAUUGGGCGUAAAGCGUGCGUAGGCGGCCCGAUAAGUCCGGCUGUGAAAGUCAACGGCUCAACUGUUGGAUGCCGGUGGAUACUGUCGGGCUAGAGUACGGAAGAGGCAAGUGGAAUUCCUGGUGUAGCGGUGGAAUGCGCAGAGUAUCAGGAGGAACACCUAUAGCGAAGGCAGCUUGCUGGGACGUUACUGACGCUAAGGCGCGAAAGCGUGGGGAGCGAACGAGG
rnacentral:rRNA from 1 species